UAUGUACCAGUACAUUCACAUGUACUGACGAAUACUUUUCUUUUCCGCUAUGGUGUUUUAUACUAUUGGUUCGGAUGCUCAGGUUCCCGAUCACAUUUUGCAGCUCAGAUAUCAGCAGUCAGAGUCAGUGAUGAGUCCUCAUAUUUUGAGGACAUAAUUAUUUCACUCUUUUAGUAAUCAGUAUUUAGUUACUUUCAGC
rnacentral:lncRNA from 1 species